rnacentral:tRNA from 1 species
GGAGCAGUGGCGGAACGGCAGACGCCGCGGACUUAAAAUCCGCUGAGGGAGACCUCGUGUGGGUUCGAAUCCCACCUGCUCUA